rnacentral:lncRNA from 1 species
UGCCAGUACUGCCUGCACGUGGGCCACCUUGGUCUGGGGUUCAGUGUCUUUAUGGCCACCAUAGCUGCCCUAAGAAAGGAAUAUAGGCACGCACAGAACCUCUAGCCAGUGACAAGUGGCCGGGCAGCUCUUUGAAAGAAAAAACUGAAAAAAAUCCUUUGUUUAUUCUUUAGUUUAUUUUUUUCUUUGUUCUUUUUAGAUAUAUACAUAUGACAAUAGAGUGUAUUGUCAUAUCAUACAUACAUGGAGUAUAACUAUUUGACAUAUUAUACAUACAUGGAGUAUAACUAUUCUAAUUAGAUCCCAUUCUUGUGGUGUACGUGAUGUGGUUUCACUGGUUGUGUAUUCAUAUAUGAAUAUAGGAAAGUUAUGUCUGAGUCAUCCUACUGUCUUUCCAAAUCCCAUUCCUCCUCCCUCCCUUCAUCCCCCUUUGUCUAAUUCAAUGAACUUCUACUCCCUCCACCCCUUAUUAUGUGUUAGCAUCCACAUAUUAGACAUAAUAUUCAGCCUUUGGUUUUUGGGGACUGGCUUAUUUCACUUAGCAUAAUAGUCUCUAGUUCCAUCCAUUUAGCAGAAAAUGCCAUAAUUUCAUUUUUCUUUAAGGCUGAAUAAUAUUCCACUGCGUAUACAUAUCACAUUUUCUUUAUCCAUUCAUCUGUUUAAGGGCAUCUUGGUUGGUUCCAUAGCUUAGCUAUUGUGAAUUGAGCUGCUAUAAACAUUGAUAUGGCUGUGUCAC